rnacentral:rRNA from 1 species
CAGCAGCCGCGGGAAUACCGAGGGUGCGAGCGUUAAUCGGAUUUACUGGGCGUAAAGCGUGCGUAGGCGGCUUUUUAAGUCGGAUGUGAAAUCCCUGAGCUUAACUUAGGAAUUGCAUUCGAUACUGGGAAGCUAGAGUAUGGGAGAGGAUGGUAGAAUUCCAGGUGUAGCGGUGAAAUGCGUAGAGAUCUGGAGGAAUACCGAUGGCGAAGGCAGCCAUCUGGCCUAAUACUGACGCUGAGGUACGAAAGCAUGGGGAGCAAACAGGAUUAGAUACCCCCGUAGUCCCUGUCUCUUAUAC